GACAGAGGGUGCAAACGUUGUUCGGAAUUACUGGGCGUAAAGGGUGCGUAGGUGGUGAUGCAAGUCUGGUGUGAAAUCUCGGAGCUCAACUCCGAAAUUGCACCGGAUACUGCGUGACUCGAGGACUGUAGAGGAGAUCGGAAUUCACGGUGUAGCAGUGAAAUGCGUAGAUAUCGUGAGGAAGACCAGUUGCGAAGGCGGAUCUCUGGGCAGUUCCUGACACUGAGGCACGAAGGCCAGGGGAGCAAACGGG
rnacentral:rRNA from 1 species